rnacentral:rRNA from 1 species
UACGUAGGGUGCGAGCGUUGUCCGGAAUUAUUGGGCGUAAAGAGCUCGUAGGCGGUCUGUCGCGUCGGAUGUGAAAAUCCAAGGCUUAACCUUGGGCCUGCAUUCGAUACGGGCAGACUAGAGUUCGGUAGGGGAGACUGGAAUUCCUGGUGUAGCGGUGAAAUGCGCAGAUAUCAGGAGGAACACCGGUGGCGAAGGCGGGUCUCUAGGCCGACACUGACGCUGAGGAGCGAAAGCGUGGGGAGCGAACAGG